GAGAGGGGGCAGAUUCCGUGAGCUGAAGGGUGAAAAGGAAUGCUGGGAGAACAAAACAAGAGAGCCCGAGCCUCCUCACAUGGGAAAUGAGGAUAAUAACAGCUGCUCUCUGGAGUUAUUGUCUAACUCCGCGAACGUGCCGGCAUGAGGAAAAGCUAAGUAAAAUCCAGUGUCCAACUCUGAAGAAAGAAGAAUGGCUGCUGUGUCUAAUGUUGGAGAAGCACUCUCUGCCGCCUGCCUGCCCUCCUACAGGGCCAAUCUUUCUAAAACGUUACUUUUCACAUCUGAAUCCUGCUCAAAAUUUCCUCAGGUCUCUCUUUUGUCUCUCGCCUGACGUCCAGGCUCUCCAGCCUGCUGCCAAUGAUUCCUCCCACCAAAAGCACCCCAGGAACAGGGGCAGACUAGUCCACCUCUGCACCUUUCUUCAUCCUGCUACAGCUGCUUAGACACACUUUUAUCCAAAUCCUAAUCAUCUUUCAAGACUCAGCUCAAAUGCUCUCUCACUCGUAAGAGAGAGGCGUAUGGCUCACGCAGUAACUCUCUUGGAAUGCCCAUAGCAGCUUUUGCCUGAGCUUUUCUUUGGACAUUCAAUAAAAUUCUGCCUUGUACCCCUA